rnacentral:SRP_RNA from 1 species
UUGAAGUUUCGCGGAAUUUCCUCUUGAAUUCCGGGCGGGUUUCGUGUAUAAUGCAAAGGACGCCGUGGAAUAUCCUCCGCAGGCAUCCGUGUUGAUGUUCCGGUCUCGCGCAAUGGAGGCCCGUGAACCAUGUCAGGCGGGGAACCGAGCAGCAUUAAGCGGGAGGAAAUGUGCCGCGAGGGCGCCGGUCCGGAGCGGAUGCUUGCGGAGGGUAUUCCACGGUGUUUCAA